rnacentral:rRNA from 1 species
AACGAACGCUGGCGGCAGGCCUAACACAUGCAAGUCGAACGCCCGUAGCAAUACGGGAGUGGCAGACGGGUGAGUAACGCGUGGGAACGUGCCCUUCGGUUCGGAAUAACUCAGGGAAACUUGAGCUAAUACCGGAUACGUCCGUAAGGAGAAAGAUUUAUCGCCGAAGGAUCGGCCCGCGUCGGAUUAGCUAGUUGGUGGGGUAAAAGCUCACCAAGGCGACGAUCCGUAGCUGGUCUGAGAGGAUGAUCAGCCACACUGGGACUGAGACACGGCCCAGACUCCUACGGGAGGCAGCAGUGGGGAAUAUUGGACAAUGGGCGGAAAGCCUGAUCCAGCCAUGCCGCGUGAGUGAAGAAAGGCCUUAGGGUUGUAAAGACUC